GACGAACGCUGGCGGCGUGCCUAAUACAUGCAAGUCGAACGCAGUUGCGAACGGGUGAGUACCGCGUAGGUACCUUCCUCAUAGCGGGGGUUAACUAUUGGAAACGAUAGCUAAUACCGCAUACUUUGAGCUGGACCUGCGUUGUAUUCGCUAGUUGGUGAGGUAAAGGCUCACCAAGGCGACGAUACAUACCCGACCUGAGAGGGUGAUCGGCCACACUGGGAAUGGGACAACGGCCAGGAUCCCUAGGGAAGGAGGAGUAGGGGAUCUUCGGCAAUGGAUGGAAGUCUGGACGAGGAACGGCGCGGGAGGGAAGGAAGGUUUCGGGUCGUAAAACUCUGUUGGUAGAGAAGCGGUAACUAACCAGAAAGGAACGGCUAACUACGUGCCAGCAGCCGCGGUAAUAC
rnacentral:rRNA from 1 species